CGUGCAGCAGCUGGUGUUGUGAAUCAGGCCGUCGCCAGUCGGAGAACGGCUACUUCACAACACCAGGGUGGCACCG
rnacentral:pre_miRNA from 13 species